GCUAAACGCGAAGAACCUUACCAAGGCUUGACAUAUACGAGAACGCUGCAGAAAUGUAGAACUCUUUGGACACUCGUAAACAGGUGGUGCAUGGUUGUCGUCAGCUCGUGUCGUGAGAUGUUGGGUUAAGUCCCGCAACGAGCGCAACCCUUACCCUUAGUUGCCAGCAUUCAGUUGGGAACUCUAAGGGGACCGCCGGUGACAAACCGGAGGAAGGAGGGGAUGACGUCAAGUCAUCAUGGCCCUUAUGACCAGGGCUACACACGUGCUACAAUGGCCAGUACAAAGGGUUGCCAACCCGCGAGGGGGAGCCAAUCCCAGAAAGCUGGUCGUAGUCCGGAUCGCAGUCUGCAACUCGGCUGCGUGAAGUCGGAAUCGCUAGUAAUCGUGAAUCAGCGAUGUCACGGUGAAUACGUUCCCGGGUCUUGUACACACCG
rnacentral:rRNA from 1 species